GAUGAAGAACGCAGCAAAAUGCGAUAAGUAAUGUGAAUUGCAGAAUUCAGUGAAUCAUCGAAUCUUUGAACGCACAUUGCGCGCGCCAGUAUUCUGGCGGGCAUGCCUGUUCGAGCGUCAUUUCAACCCUCAAGCACAGCUUGGUGUUGGGACUCGCGUUAAUUCGCGUUCCUCAAAUUGAUUGGCGGUCACGUCGAGCUUCCAUAGCGUAGUAGUAAAACCCUCGUUACUGGUAAUCGUCGCGGCCACGCCGUUAAACCCCAACUUCUGAAUGUUGACCUCGGAUCAGGUAGGAAUACCCGCUGAACUUAAGCAUAUCAAUAAGCGGAGGA
rnacentral:misc_RNA from 1 species